AACCAACGCUGGCGGCAGGCCUAACACAUGCAAGUCGAGCGCCCCGCAAGGGGAGCGGCAGACGGGUGAGUAACGCGUGGGAAUCUACCCAUCUCUACGGAAUAACGCAUGGAAACGUGUGCUAAUACCGUAUACGUCCUUCGGGAGAAAGAUUUAUCGGAGAUGGAUGAGCCCGCGUUGGAUUAGCUAGUUGGUGGGGUAAUGGCCUACCAAGGCGACGAUCCAUAGCUGGUCUGAGAGGAUGAUCAGCCACACUGGGACUGAGACACGGCCCAGACUCCUACGGGAGGCAGCAGUGGGGAAUAUUGGACAAUGGGCGCAAGCCUGAUCCAGCCAUGCCGCGUGAGUGAUGAAGGCCCUAGGGUUGUAAAGCUUUUUCACCGGUGAAGAUAAUGACGGUAACCGGAGAAGAAGCCCCGGCUAACUUCGUGCCAGCCGCCGCAGUAAUAC
rnacentral:rRNA from 1 species